GAUGAACGCUAGCUACAGGCUUAACACAUGCAAGUCGAGGGGAAACGACAUCGAAAGCUUGCUUUUGAUGGGCGUCGACCGGCGCACGGGUGAGUAACGCGUAUCCAACCUGCCCGCCACUUGGGGAUAACCUUGCGAAAGUAAGACUAAUACCCAAUGAUAUCUCUAGAAGACGUCUGAAAGAGAUUAAAGAUUUAUCGGUGAUGGAUGGGGAUGCGUCUGAUUAGCUUGUUGGCGGGGUAACGGCCCACCAAGGCUACGAUCAGUAGGGGUUCUGAGAGGAAGGUCCCCCACAUUGGAACUGAGACACGGUCCAAACUCCUACGGGAGGCAGCAGUGAGGAAUAUUGGUCAAUGGGCGAGAGCCUGAACCAGCCAAGUAGCGUGCAGGAUGACGGCCCUAUGGGUUGUAACUGCUUUUAUAAGGGAAUAAAGUGAGCCUCGUGAGGCUUUUUGCAUGUACCUUAUGAAUAAGGACCGGCUAAUUCCGUGCCAGCCGCCGCGGUAA
rnacentral:rRNA from 1 species